rnacentral:rRNA from 1 species
GACGAACGCUGGCGGCGUGCUUAACACAUGCAAGUCGAACGGAAAGGCCCUGCUUUUGUGGGGUGCUUGAGUGGCGAACGGGUGAGUAACACGUGAGUAACCUUCCCUUGACUUUGGGAUAACUUCAGGAAACUGGGGCUAAUACCGGAUCGGAGCUCCUGCUGCAUGGCGGGGGUUGGAAAGUCUCGGUGGUCGGGGAUGGACUCCCGGCUUAUCAGCUUGUUGGUGGGGUAGUGGCUUACCAAGGCUUUGACGGGUAGCCGGCCUGUGAGGGUGACCGGCCACAUUGGGACUGAGAGACGGCCCAGACUCCUACGGGAGGCAGCAGUGGGGAAUAUUGCACAAUGGGCGGAAGCCUGAUGCAGCAGCGCCGCGUGCGGGAUGACGGCCUUAGGGUUGUAAACCGCUUUCGCCUGUGACGAAGCGUGAGUGACGGUAAUGGGUAAAGAAGCACCGGCUAACUACGUG